rnacentral:rRNA from 1 species
GAUGAACGCUGGCGGCGUGCCUAAUACAUGCAAGUCGAGCGAACGGACGAGAAGCUUGCUUCUCUGAUGUUAGCGGCGGACGGGUGAGUAACACGUGGAUAACCUACCUAUAAGACUGGGAUAACUUCGGGAAACCGGAGCUAAUACCGGAUAAUAUUUUGAACCGCAUGGUUCAAAAGUGAAAGACGGUCUUGCUGUCACUUAUAGAUGGAUCCGCGCUGCAUUAGCUAGUUGGUAAGGUAACGGCUUACCAAGGCAACGAUGCAUAGCCUACCUGAGAGGGUGAUCGGCCACACUGGAACUGAGACACGGUCCAGACUCCUACGGGAGGCAGCAGUAGGGAAUCUUCCGCAAUGGGCGAAAGCCUGACGGAGCAACACCGCGUGAGUGAUGAAGGUCUUCGGAUCGUAAAACUCUGUUAUUAGGGAAGAACAUAUGUGUAAGUAACUGUGCACAUCUUGACGGUACCUAAUCAGAAAGCCACGGCUAACUACGUG